rnacentral:rRNA from 1 species
CACGUAGGGCGCGAGCGUUGUCCGGAAUUAUUGGGCGUAAAGAGCUCGUAGGCGGCCUGUUGCGUCCGCUGUGAAAACUCGGGGCUUAACCCCGGGCCUGCAGUGGGUACGGGCAGACUAGAGUGCGGUAGGGGAGACUGGAAUUCCUGGUGUAGCGGUGAAAUGCGCAGAUAUCAGGAGGAACACCGGUGGCGAAGGCGGCGACCUGGACAGGCACUGACACUCAACUACGAAAGCGUGGGUAGCAAACAGG